rnacentral:misc_RNA from 1 species
GCAAUUUCCAGUACUCGAGCUGAUAUGGCAUCUUUGAGCAAGGAUUGGAGAGGAAUACCUACUAGACUGAAUAAUAUUCCUCACUCAAGAGAAAUUAGGGAAUAUUUCUACACUGAUGUGCUUCAGGCUACUCAAAGAGCUGUCAAUGAUGGGAAAACUCGUUUAAAGAUAGAAAUCAAUAUCCCGGAGCUGAAUCCUUCAAUGGAUGUUUAUCGAAUAGGUACUCUAAUGGAACUUAUCCGUGUACUUGCUCUUUCAUUUGCUGACGAUGGAAAGCGUGUCAAGGUUUGUGUCCAAGGGUCUAUGGGGGAAGGUGCACUUGCAGGGAUGCCUUUGCAGCUUGCAGGAAGUCGAAAGAUAUUAGAGUACAUGGAUUGGGGUGAUUAUGGCGCGUUGGGAAACUUUAUCAAUAUUGGUUCUAUAGGUGGCAAGGAGGUUGAAAAACAAGAUGACGUGUUCAUUCUAGUGGCUCCCCAGAAUGCUGUCGGAAAUUGCAUCAUAGAUGAUAUGAGAGCUAUGACUGAUGCAGCCGGUAACCGACCGAUUAUUCUAGUCAACCCCAAACUAAAGGAUUUACCUGCUUCAAGUGGUAUCAUGCAAACAAUGGGUAGAGAUAAGAGAUUGGAAUAUGCUGCAUUGUUUGAGAUAUGCUAUCAAUUCCGGCUACUCUACUAUGCAGGAACACAAUAUCCUAUUAUGGGGGCACUCAGGAUGUCGUACCCGUAUCCUUAUGAGUUAUACAAGAGAGUCGAUGAAUCACCGGGGAAGGAGAAAUACAUAUCCUUGGCAACAUUUGCAAAGAGGCCAAGUAUUGAUGAAAUGAACGAUGCCUUCGAAGGAAAAUCAAGAAAUCAAGAGAAAAAAGCAGAGGGAUUUUGGGGCUUCUUGAGUGGUAUACUAUAAGCAUCGAUGGAGAAUGCACAAACAUCAUGAUAUCGUCUAUGCAACAUCUACAUUUGAUCAUCCAAAACUGACGGUAAAUCAAUCUUCUCUUCGUUUUUGAAUCCUUCGAAAUGCAAUCAAGUUCUGGAUUUGAGGAUCUGAUUAAUGUGUUCAGUAUGAAUUUAGUCUCCUGGCACAUAUCGAUCGUAAAGUGUAUAUACAUUUCCUAUAUAUAUCUGGUGAUUUUG